GAUGAACGCUAGCGGCAGGCUUAAUACAUGCAAGUCGUGGGGCAGCAGGUUUGUAGCAAUACAGAUGCUGGCGACCGGCAAACGGGUGCGGAACACGUACAGAACCUUCCUUUGAGCGGGGAAUAGCCCAGAGAAAUUUGGAUUAAUACCCCAUAGUAUAAUGAAGUGGCAUCACUUUAUUAUUAAAGAUUUAUCACUCGAAGAUGGCUGUGCGGCUGAUUAGGUAGUUGGCGGGGUAAAGGCCCACCAAGCCUGCGAUCAGUAACUGGUGUGAGAGCACGACCAGUCACACGGGCACUGAGACACGGGCCCGACUCCUACGGGAGGCAGCAGUAAGGAAUAUUGGUCAAUGGAGGCAACUCUGAACCAGCCAUGCCGCGUGGAGGAUGAAGGUCCUCUGGAUUGUAAACUUCUUUUAUAUGGGACGAAAAAAGGCUUUUCUAAGUCGUCUGACGGUACCAUAUGAAUAAGCACCGGCUAACUCCGUGCCAGCAG
rnacentral:rRNA from 1 species